UACAGAGGGGGCAAGCGUUGUUCGGAAUUACUGGGCGUAAAGGGCGCGUAGGCGGCCUUCUAAGUCGAACGUGAAAUCCCCGGGCUCAACCCGGGAACUGCGUCCGAUACUGGAAGGCUUGAAUCCGGGAGAGGGAUGCGGAAUUCCAGGUGUAGCGGUGAAAUGCGUAGAUAUCCGGAGGAACACCGGUGGCGAAGGCGGCUUCCUGGACCGAUCACUGACGCUGAGGCGCGAAAGCUAGGGGAGCAAACGGG
rnacentral:rRNA from 1 species